GCUGGACAUGGUGGUGUGUGCCUGUAGUCCCAGUUACUUGGGAGGCAGAGUCAGGAGGCUCAUUUGAGCCCAGGAGUUCGAGGGUGUAGUGCAUUAUGAUCACACCUGUGAAUAGCCACUGCAUUCCAGCCUUGGCAACAUAGUGAGACCCUGUCUCUA
ensembl:misc_RNA Metazoa_SRP Metazoan signal recognition particle RNA